rnacentral:rRNA from 1 species
UGGGGAAUAUUGCACAAUGGGCGAAAGCCUGAUGCAGCGACGCCGCGUGAGGGAUGACGGCCUUCGGGUUGUAAACCUCUUUCAGCAGGGACGAAGCGCAAGUGACGGUACCUGCAGAAGAAGCACCGGCUAACUACGUGCCAGCAGCCGCGGUAAUACGUAGGGUGCAAGCGUUGUCCGGAAUUACUGGGCGUAAAGAGUUCGUAGGCGGUUUGUCGCGUCGUUUGUGAAAACCAGCAGCUCAACUGCUGGCUUGCAGGCAAUACGGGCAGACUUGAGUACUGCAGGGGAGACUGGAAUUCCUGGUGUAGCGGUGAAAUGCGCAGAUAUCAGGAGGAACACCGGUGGCGAAGGCGGGUCUCUGGGCAGUAACUGACGCUGAGGAACGAAAGCGUGGGUAGCGAACAGG